AUACGGAGGAUGCAAGCGUUAUCCGGAUUUAUUGGGUUUAAAGGGUGCGUAGGCGGGAAGUCAAGUCUGUGGUGAAAAGUCCGGGCCUAACCUGGAUCGUGCCAUGGAAACUGUCUUUCUUGAAUAGUGGCGCCGUUGGCGGAAUGUGCAGUGUAGCGGUGAAAUGCUUAGAUAUUACACAGAACACCGAUUGCGAAAGCAGCUGACGAACCACCGAUUGACGCUGAUGCACGAAAGUUCGGGUAUCGAACAGGAUUAGAUACCCUGGUAGUCCGCACAGUAAACGAUGACAACUAGCUGUUGGCGAUAUACUGUUCAGUAGCGUAGCGAAAGCGUUAAGUUGUCCACCUGGGGAGUACGACCGCAAGGUUGAAACUCAAAGGAAUUGACGGGG
rnacentral:rRNA from 1 species